rnacentral:tRNA from 1 species
GGGGUUGUGGCUCAGUGGUAAAGUGCUUUCCUAGCAUGCAUGAGACACUGGGUUCAAUUCCCAGCACCACA